rnacentral:lncRNA from 1 species
UACAAAAAAGAGGGGUGUGGUGCCACAGAACAUGAGAGGACAAGAUGACCUAGAUUCAACAAUAGCACUAGAGAGACAGAACAAGAAAUUUCAUGCUCUGCCUUUUAUAAAUGAGGAAACUGAGAUUAACAGCAGUUACAUGCCUCACCAAGGUUAUGAAGUCAAGGAGAAGACUCAAGUCUGGCUCUCAUUAUUCCUCAUUGAGAGCUCUUUUCACUACAUAGUGCUGCCUUCCCAGGAAAGCUAAAAAGUUAAACGACAGACUGGUGUUCAUA